UACGUAGGGAGCGAGCGUUGUUCGGAUUUACUGGGCGUAAAGGGCGCGUAGGCGGCCACCGCAAGUCGGUUGUGAAAUCUCCGGGCUUAACCCGGAAAGGUCAAUCGAUACUGCGGGGCUAGAGUGCAGAAGGGGCAACUGGAAUUCUCGGUGUAGCGGUGAAAUGCGUAGAUAUCGAGAGGAACACCUGCGGCGAAGGCGGGUUGCUGGGCUGACACUGACGCUGAAGCGCGAAAGCUAGGGGAGCGAACGGG
rnacentral:rRNA from 1 species